GGAAUGACAUCAUCGCAGGUUCCGUGGGGGCAGGAAGACCUUGGCAGCACACAGCGGUUGGACUUGAAGCUGUUUAUUUAUUUAGAGAGACCGAGAAGGCAGCUGGACCUCGUGAAGAGAGAUUGACCUCUGAAGGAAGAGAUAAAAUGGGGCCGUCAUCAAUCACAACAAAGAUGUGCGGACCAGAAUGAUGCAAGAUGUUCCUGCUCAGCCACUAAGAACCAGAAUUUGGCUUCAGCCAUUUCCCAGAUAUCCCCGAGGGUCUGACAAAACCAAGAGGGAGAAAGUCUGUCAUGGCGGAAACAGCGCGGCAACAGUCCGAGAAAGCAAGGGGAACAGGAACAGGAAAUCAGCCUGCUGCCCGUGCCCUGGACUACUCGCUGCUAACCCUAUCUACCUGGGGGUCGGAGUUGAGGUGGUGUGGAAUCAACACUGACUCCAGGAACAGGUGGAAAAGCGCUGCAGCAAGCUCAUCCGAAGGCUGCUGCGAGCUCCUUUAAUACCCUCCACCUGCGCCCCAUAGGUCCCAGAGAAGCAUCUCUUCUAAACAGCAGUUCCCGGUUGGCUGGCAUUGUCUGCAUCAGCAAUCCUUGGUCUUCUCAGGGAGUCUUCAAUUAGAUCCUCCAGCAAGAACCGUCUUUGUGGCUGCGCGCCCUCCCCCACUCCUGCCCCCUGCGUUUACAUAGAGGCGGCUACCACCAUUCCUCCUACACCAGCAGAUCAUGUUUUAUCCACACAGAAGAAAUAACAGGAGGAAAGGCAAGACUAUAAAUCCUCAAAGCCCCCGCUCCUCCAGUGAUGUACAGCAAGGGGCCACCUCCUAAAAGUUCUGCUACUGCCCCAAACAGCACCACUAAUUGAGAACCAGCAUUUAGAUACAGGAGCCUAUGAGGGACAUCUCUCAAUCAAAUUACCACAAUAAUUGGGUAGUUGCUUCAGUUUGCUUCCACAAUUCAAUGCCAGCCCCUGGCCCCUGCCUCCUAGGGCUCUAUGCUAAUCAAAUAUUUACUACAACCUUGAAGGCACAAACCACAUUUGAAGAGAUGGGAAAAUAUAUUCCCUGUGAAUG